rnacentral:rRNA from 1 species
UACGUAGGGGGCGAGCGUUGUCCGGAUUUAUUGGGCGUAAAGAGCGUGUAGGCGGUUCGGUAAGUCUGUCGUGAAAUCCUGAGGCUCAACCUCGGACGUGCGAUGGAUACUGCCGGGCUAGAGGAUGGUAGAGGCGAGUGGAAUUCCCGGUGUAGCGGUGAAAUGCGCAGAUAUCAGGAGGAACACCAAUGGCGAAGGCAGCUCUCUGGUACGUGACUGACGCUGAGACGCGAAAGCGUGGGGAGCGAACAGG